rnacentral:lncRNA from 1 species
CCCAGAUGGCAGAUUGACCAAUACAUGUUAAAUAUGUUAAAGUAUAGGUUAAAUACAAUAUAUGUAUACAUGUCCAAACAGUUAUUUUGUGGUACAAAAAGAAUCGGACUUUGAAAUAGUGUACAAUUAGCCUGUGAAGGAAAUCAAAAAUGGAGGUGAACAAAAAUAGAGGGAUUGGGAAUUUUAUGUAAUGGUUCAUAGUCAUCUCCCAGAGUUCUUUCGCUGGGUGUAACUAGUUUAAUUCAUUACUGCUCUAUUGGAUCUGAUUUGGUUCAUCUCAUUGUGAAGAAGGCGACGUUCAUCAGAAUUGAUCAUCAUAUAGAAUUGUUGUUGAAGUAUAUAAUGAUCUCCUGGUCCUACUCAUUUCACUCAGCAUCAAUUCAUGUAGGUCUCUCCAGGCCUUUCUGAAAUCAUCCUGUUGGUUAUUUCUUACAGAACAAUAAUAUUCCAUAAUGUUCAUAUACCACAAUUUAUUCAGCCAUUCUCCAAUUGAUGGGCAUCCACUCAAGUUUCUAGUUUCUGACCACUACAAAGAAGGCCGCCACAAACAUUCUUGCACAUACAGGCCCUUUUCCCUUCUUUUAAAUCUUUUUGGGAUAUAAGCCCAGUAGUAACACUGCUAGAUCAAAGGGUAUCCACAGUUUGGUAACUUUUUGAGCACAAUUCCAAAUUGCUCUCCAAAAUGGCUGGAUGUAUUCCCAAUUCCACUAACAAUGUAUCAGUGUCCCUGUUUUCCCAUAUCCCCUCCAACAUUCUGCAUUAUCUUUCCCUGUCAUUCUAGCCAAUCUGACAGGUGUGUAGUGGUGUCUCAGAGUUGUCUUAAUUUGCAUUUCUCUGAUUAAUAAUGACUUGGAGCAUCUUUUCAUAUGGCUAGAAAUAGUUUCAAUUUCUUCGUCUGAGAAUUGUCUGUUCAUAUCCUUUGACCAUUUAUCAAUUGGAGAAUGGCUUGAUUUCUUAUAAAUUAGAGUCCAAAUAUUUUGGAAAUGAGGCCUUUAUCCAAACCUUUGACUGUAAAAAUAUUUUCCCAAUUUAUGGCUUCCCUUCUAAUCUUGACUACAUUCGUUUUGUUUGUACAAAAACUUUUCAAUUUGAUAUAAUCAAAAUUUUCUAUUUUGUGAUCAGUAAGGAUCUCUAGUUCUUCUUUGUUCAUAAAUUCCUUCCUUUUCCACAGGUCUGAGAGGUAAACUAUCCUAUGUUCCUUUAAUUUGUUUAUAACCUCAUUCUUUAUGCCUAGGUCAUGAACCCAUUUUGACCUUAUCUUGGUGUACAGUGUUAAGUGUGUCAAUACUUAGUUUCUGCCAUACUAAUUUCCAGUUUUCCCAGCAAUUUUUGCCAAAUAGUGAGUUCUUAUCCCCAAAACUGCAGUCUUUGGUUUGUCAAACACUAGAUUAUUAAAGUUAUUGGCUGUUUUGUCCUUUGAAUUUAAUCUAUUCCACUGAUCAACUAGUCUAUUUCUUAGCCAAUACUAAAUGGUUUUGGUAACUGCUGCUUUAUAAUAUAAUUUUAGAUCUGGAACAGUUAGGCCACUUUCAUUUGAUUUUUUUUUCAUUAAUCCCUUGAAAUUCUUGACCUUUUGUUUUUCCAUAUGAACUUUGUUGUUAUUUUUUCUAGGUCAUUAAAAUAGUUUUUUGGCAGUCCGAUUGGUAUAGCGCUAAAUAAAUAGAUUAGUUUAGGUAGUAUUGUCAUCUUUAUUAUAUUUGCUUGCCCUAUCCAAGAGCAUUUAAUAUUUUUCCAAUUGGUUAGAUCAGAGUUAAUUUGUGUGGAAAGUGGUUUGUAGUGUUGCUCAUAAAGUUUCUGAUUUUCCCUUGGCAGAUAGAUUCGUAAGUAUUUUAUACUAUCAGUAGUUACUUUAAAUGGAAUUUCUCUUUGUAACUCUAACUGUUGGACUUUGCUAGUGAUAUAUAAAAAUGCUGAUGACUUAUGUGGGUUUAUUUUGUAUCCUGCAACUUUGCUAAAGGUGUGGAUUAUUUCUAAUAGCUUUUUAGUAGAAUCUCUGGGGUUCUCUAAGUAUACCAUCAUAUCAUCAGCAAAGAGUGAUAAUUUGGUUUCCUCAUUACCUACUCUAAUUCCUUUUAUCUCUUUCUCAACUUGUUUUGCCAAAGCUAGCAUUUCUAAUAUAAUAUUGAAUAGUAAUGGUGAUAAUGGGCAACCUUGUUUCAUUCCUGAUCUUAUUGGGAAUGGUUGCAGUUUAUCCCCAUUACAUAUAAUGUUUACUGAUGGUUUUAAAUAGAUGCUACUGAUUAUUUUAAGAAAAAGUCCAUUUAUUCCUAUACUCUCAAGUGUUUUUAAUAGGAAUGGAUGUUGGAUUUUAUCAAAUGCUUUUUCUGCAUCUAUUGAGAUUAUCAUAUGGUUUUUGUUAAUUUGGUUAUUAAUAUGGCCAAUUAUAAAAAAUAGCAUUUUCUGUGGCAUUGUUAUGAUAAGUAUGAUGCCAAGACAAAGGAAUUCUGCACUGGAAAAAGUACAGCUAGAGUAUUCUGUCAAAAACUUCUCUCUGAAAUUUAGAAGGACAUUUACAAAUAAGAAAUCACAUAGAAGAAGACAAGUAGAAAGGUAAAGAGACCUUUAGCCAAAUUAUAUGAAGAACUAGAGAUGUUU